UUACUUGAGGCUACCCAAACUUUGGGUUGAAGUUUGGAGAACUUGGUGGCACUUUGUGGAUUGAGCCUAGGACUUAUUAGUGUUGGUGUGCAAGCAGUCAGAUGAUGUCCAUUUGACUGCAGGUACACCUGACUUAGAGGAGGACCCCGUAGCUGCGUAUUUGGGAUAUUACGAUUGAAGCACACCGCGACAGUCGUAUUGAGUUGGACUAUGGAGUUCACUCUUUUGGGGUAUUUUGUAUAUGGCUGGUGACGUAGGUGUCACAUAUUUUUGUGUAGCCAUUCUUUUGUAUUAGUGGAAUUGUAGCCUUAAACAGUUAGACAGGUAUAUGGCUCUUUUGUAUGGACCACAUGUAUAUUUAGAUGUGCUUUCCGUUAUGAGAUGUAACGCUAUGAUUAUUCCGCUGUUAGAUAUUACUCUGAAUAUCAGGUACAUGAUAUGGAGCAUGUAUGUAUGUUGGCUGAGCGACACGUAGUCGUGCCACUGU